rnacentral:rRNA from 1 species
AACUACAAAGGAAUUGACGGGGGCCCGCACAAGCGGUGGAGCACGUGGUUUAAUUCGAUGCAACGCGAAGAACCUUACCUGGGUUUGACAUACACCGGAAAACCGUAGAGAUACGGUCCCCCUUGUGGUCGGUGUACAGGUGGUGCAUGGCUGUCGUCAGCUCGUGUCGUGAGAUGUUGGGUUAAGUCCCGCAACGAGCGCAACCCUUGUCUUAUGUUGCCAGCACGUAAUGGUGGGGACUCGUAAGAGACUGCCGGGGUCAACUCGGAGGAAGGUGGGGACGACGUCAAGUCAUCAUGCCCCUUAUGUCCAGGGCUUCACACAUGCUACAAUGGCCAGUACAGAGGGCUGCGAGACCGUGAGGUGGAGCGAAUCCCUUAAAGCUGGUCUCAGUUCGGAUCGGGGUCUGCAACUCGACCCCGUGAAGUCGGAGUCGCUAGUAAUCGCAGAUCAGCAACGCUGCGGUGAAUACGUUCCCGGGCCUU